CUCCUGAUCAAAUCAGGGACCAAACCAUCUCGACGAUUAGGUCAACUCUUAACCUAAUCGGGUCAAACCCAACUGAAUCCAAUUCAAUUGGACUUGAUCCAAAAAUAAUUACUCAAUCAAAUUAAGUUAAUUAGUGAUCAAAUCACUAAUUAAACUUCUCAUAAAUAUUGAAUCCAAAUCCGAUGGGUAAUCGGGCAUCAGAAUUCAUCGAUAUGUAACCCUGAUCGAUGAGUCCCAAACCAGUGGGACUCUUGACCCCAGUACCCAAAAUGUGUGGGACUCAUGAUCAGAGAAUCUUGAUUCUUGAUCACAGAGUCUUAGACACAUAGGACUCAUAGUCUACGAGCAUUAGGACUCUUCAUCAGCCAUCAGAUCAGAUAGGAACCUCUAAUGUGUGUGACCCCGCAGGUUCGAACCUAAGUCGGUAGCACAGGAACCAAUUUCUGUACUAAUCGAAGUGACCAUCUAGCAAUGGUACCC
rnacentral:lncRNA from 1 species